CUGGACAAAAAUAUUGAGGAUUCACUCGACGGAAUCCUAUCAAAAUAGGUUUAGAAACAGAAUUUCUUUUGAUUAUUCGAACGCACCAACUAGUUAGAAAAUCACAUUGACAGCUUCUACUCUUGUCCUAGCUUGUUGGAGAGCUAGAUUCGUCUCAAUUAUUUGUCUCUUUCCUUCAGCGUUUCUCAAAUUAGCUUUGACUAUUUCAAGAGUUUUCUGAGCUUCUUGUGGAUCAAUGUCACUAUCCUUUUCCGCAUCAUUUACUAAAAGAAAUAAUUAAUA
rnacentral:lncRNA from 1 species